rnacentral:rRNA from 1 species
GAUGAACGCUGGCGGCGUGCCUAAUACAUGCAAGUCGAGCGAACAGACGAGGAGCUUGCUCCUCUGACGUUAGCGGCGGACGGGUGAGUAACACGUGGAUAACCUACCUAUAAGACUGGGAUAACUUCGGGAAACCGGAGCUAAUACCGGAUAAUAUAUUGAACCGCAUGGUUCAAUAGUGAAAGACGGUUUUGCUGUCACUUAUAGAUGGAUCCGCGCCGCAUUAGCUAGUUGGUAAGGUAACGGCUUACCAAGGCAACGAUGCGUAGCCGACCUGAGAGGAUGAUCGGCCACACUGGAACUGAGACACGGUCCAGACUCCUACGGGAGGCAGCAGUAGGGAAUCUUCCGCAAUGGGCGAAAGCCUGACGGAGCAACGCCGCGUGAGUGAUGAAGGUCUUCGGAUCGUAAAACUCUGUUAUUAGGGAAGAACAAAUGUGUAAGUAACUAUGUACGUCUUGACGGUACCUAAUCAGAAAGCCACGGCUAACUACGUG